GAUGAAGAACGUAGCGAAAUGCGAUACGUAAUGUGAAUUGCAGAAUUCAGUGAAUCAUCGAAUCUUUGAACGCAUAUUGCGCUCUCUGGUAUUCCGGAGAGCAUGCUUGUUUGAGUAUCAGUAAACACCUCAACUUCCAUAUCUUUUUUGAAAUGGGAGUUGGACUUGAGUGAUCCCAACGCUUUUCCUCACCGAAAAGUGGCGGGUUACUUGAAAUGCAGGUGCAGCUGGACUUUUCUCUGAGCUAUAAGCAUAUCUAUUUAGUCUGCCUAAAAAACAGAUUAUUACCUUUGCUGCAGCUAACAUAAAGGAGAUUAGUUCUUGUGCUGACUGAUGCAGGAUUCACAAAGACAGGCUUCGGCCGAAUUUGUAAACUCGAUCUCAAAUCAAGUAAGACUACCCGCUGAACUUAAGCAUAUCAAUAAGCGGAGGA
rnacentral:misc_RNA from 1 species